AGCGAACGCUGGCGGCAGGCUUAACACAUGCAAGUUGAGCGGUCAUGGUUGGUUGUCAUAGGAAGACGGGUGAGUAACACGUGGGAACUUACCCUUCGGUUCGGAACAACUCUGGGAAACUGGAGCUAAUACCGGAUAUGCUCAUACGGGGUAAGGUGUAUUGGCGAAGGAUCGGCCCGCGUCUGAUUAGCUUGCAGGUGUGGUAACGGCCUACCGAGGCGAAGAGCAGUAUCUGGUAUGAGAGGAUGAUCAGCAACACUGUGAGUGGGAGACGGAGCAGACUCUUGCGGGAGGAAGCAGGGGGGAAUGAGCGACGAUGGGCGAGAGACUGAUCCAGCCAUACCGCAUAAGUGAUGAAGGAGUUAGGAAUGUAAAGCUCUGUUGUCCGCGACGAUAGUGACGGUAACGGAAGAGAAAGCCCCGGCUAACUUCGUG
rnacentral:rRNA from 1 species